AGAGUUUGAUCAUGGCUCAGAACGUACGCUGGCGGCACGCCUAACACAUGCAAGUCGGACGAAGUAGCAAUACUUAGUGGCAGACGGGUGAGUAACAUGUAGGUAUCUGCCCUUUGGCCUGGAAUAACACGAGGAAACUUGUGCUAAUACCGGAUAAGUCUUUACGGAGAAAGCUUUAUGCACCAUUGGAUGAGCCUGCACUUGAUUAGUUUGUUGGUGGGGUAAUGGCCUACCAAGACUGUGAUCAAUAGCUGAUUUGAGAGGAUGAUCAGCCACAUUGGGACUGAGACACGGCCCAAACUCCUACGGGAGGCAGCAGUGGGGAAUCUUGCACAAUGGAGGAAACUCUGAUGCAGCGAUGCCGCGUGAGUGAAGAAGGCCCUUGGGUUGUAAAGCUCUUUCGUCGGGGAAGAAAAUGACUGUACUCGAAUAAGAAGGUCCGGCUAACUUCGUGCCAGCAGCCGCGGU
rnacentral:rRNA from 1 species